rnacentral:tRNA from 1 species
GGGGCUGUAGCUCAUCGGUAGAGCAGGCGGCUCAUAACCACUUGGCAGAAGGUUCGACCCCUUCCAGCCCCACCA